rnacentral:antisense_RNA from 1 species
GCAUGCAGGUGAGAAGGGAAGAUACGUGUAAUCUGCAUGUCUGCCAACAUUCCUUGUUACCCUUUUUCAUAUCCCAUGAACACAGCACUCCAGCGGACCUACCCAAAAUAUGUGGGAGUUCAGUGAAACUCAAAUGAAACAACUAGGAGUUGAAGAGUUGCCCACACAGUCAAUGGAAAAGAGGAGAGAGAAUUCAGCUCCCUAUGCGAGGCUUGUGGGGCAGGAAGGCUUCUUAUGAGAUAGAGCUGCAUCCUUCCUUCUGCGAGAGCAAGCCUGAACCUAUGUUUGCAGCAGACUUAGGAGAGUGGUCCUCAGAGGGGCCAGAGCAAGCAUGCUUCUGGUCAGCCUAUACAGUCUCUGUCCUGGUGAGGAGCAUGAUCACCAACAGGCAAGAUCUUCUGGCCUCGAAGUUUCGCUUGAGCUAAAAGAGCUCAUCUCAGGACUUUCUGAAUUUUCAGCCCAUAUGACAUGGAAGAAGAGUUAGAAGGGGAAUCUGACUGCUUGGAUCAGGGACUGUCUGGCUAGUGGAACUUGAAUAGAUGUACAGUGCACCACUUUGAGGAUCAAGUCUGACCCUGCCUUUAAAUUUGGAUUCAAAGUACUUAGAUUUUCUGGAAUCCCAUUCUACAAUCUUCUGGUCGAAAGUAUAAAACCAGUCUGCAGGUGUACCCAACAGCUCCGAAGAGACAGUGACAUCAAGAACGGGCCAUGAUGAUGAUGGCGGUUUUGUCGAAAAGAAAAGGGGGAAAUGUGGGGAAAAGCAAGAGAGAUCAGAUUGUUACUGUGUCUGUAUAGAAAGAAGUAGACAUAGGAGACUCCAUUUUGUUCUGUACUAAGAAAAAUUCUUCUGCCUUGAGAUGCUGUUAAUCUAUGACCUUACCCCCAACCCCGUGCUCUCUGAAACAUGUGCUGUGUCAAACUCAGGGUUAAAUGGAUUAAGGGCGGUGCAAGAUGUGCUUUGUUAAACAGAUGCUUGAAGGCAGCAUGCUCAUUAAGAGUCAUCACCACUCCCUAAUCUCAAGUACCCAGGGACACAAAAACUGCGGAAGGCUGCAGGGGCCUCUGCCUAGGAAAGCCAGGUAUUGUCCAAGGUUUCUCCCCAUGUGAUAGUCUGAAAUAUGGCCUCAUGGGAAGGGAAAGACCUGACUGUCCCCCAGCCCAACACCCGUAAAGGGUCUGUGCUGAGGAGGAUUAGUAUAAGAGGAAAGCAUGCCUCUUGCAGUUGAGACAAGAGGAAGACAUCUGUCUCCUGCCCGUCCCUGGGCAAUGGAAUGUCUCGGUAUAAAACCCGAUUGAACAUUCCAUCUACUGAGAUAGGGAAAAACCGCCUUAGGGCUGGAGGUGGGACAUGCAGGCAGCAAUACUGCUUUGUAAAGCAUUGAGAUGUUUAUGUGUAUGCAUAUCUAAAAGCACAGCACUUGAUCCUUUACCUUGUCUAUGAUGCAAAGACCUUUGUUCACGUG